rnacentral:rRNA from 1 species
GAUGAACGCUGGCGGCGUGCCUAAUACAUGCAAGUCGAGCGAACGGACGAGAAGCUUGCUUCUCUGAUGUUAGCGGCGGACGGGUGAGUAACACGUGGAUAACCUACCUAUAAGACUGGGAUAACUUCGGGAAACCGGAGCUAAUACCGGAUAAUAUUUUGAACCGCAUGGUUCAAAAGUGAAAGACGGUCUUGCUGUCACUUAUAGAUGGAUCCGCGCUGCAUUAGCUAGUUGGUAAGGUAACGGCUUACCAAGGCAACGAUGCAUAGCCGACCUGAGAGGGUGAUAGGCCACACUGGAACGUGGACACGGUCCAGGCUCCUACGGGAGGCAGCAGUAGGGAAUCUGCCGCAAUGGGCGAAAGCCUGACGGAGCAACGCCGCGUGAGUGAUGAAGGUCUUCGGAUCGUAAAACUCUGUUAUUAGUGAAGAACAUAUGUGUAAGUAACUGUGCACAUCUUGACGGUACCUAAUCAGAAAGCCACGGCUAACUACGUG